rnacentral:tRNA from 1 species
GUCUUCCUAGUAUAAAUAAGUAUAAGUGACUUCCAAUCACUCAGCCUUGGUUCAAGCCCAAGGGAAGAUA